rnacentral:rRNA from 1 species
AGUGAACGCUGGCGGUAGGCCUAACACAUGCAAGUCGAACGGCAGCACAGUAAGAGCUUGCUCUUACGGGUGGCGAGUGGCGGACGGGUGAUGAAUACAUCGGAAUCUACUUUUUCGUGGGGGGUAACGUAGGGAAACUUACGCUAAUACCGCAUACGACCUACGGGUGAAAGCAGGGGAUCUUCGGACCUUGCGCGAUUGAAUGAGCCGAUGUCGGAUUAGCUAGUUGGCGGGGUAAAGGCCCACCAAGGCGACGAUCCGUAGCUGGUCUGAGAGGAUGAUCAGCCACACUGGCACUGAGACACGGUCCAGACUCCUACGGGAGGCAGCAGUGGGGAAUAUUGGACAAUGGGCGCAAGCCUGAUCCAGCCAUACCGCGUGGGUGCAGAAGGCCUUCGGGUUGUAAAGCCCUUUUGUUGGGAAAGAAAAGCAGCAGGUUAAUACCCCGCUGUUCUGACGGUACCCAAAGAAUAAGCACCGGCUAACUUCGUG